UACGGGGGGGGCAAGCGUUGUUCGGAAUUACUGGGCGUAAAGGGCUCGUAGGCGGCCAACUAAGUCGGAUGUGAAAUCCCCAGGCUCAACCUGGGAACUGCAUCCGAUACUGGAUGGCUUGAAUUCGGGAGAGGGAUGCAGAAUUCCAGGUGUAGCGGUGAAAUGCGUAGAUAUCUGGAGGAAUACCGGUGGCGAAGGCGGCAUCCUGGACCGACAUUGACGCUGAGGAGCGAAAGCUAGGGGAGCGAACAGG
rnacentral:rRNA from 1 species